rnacentral:rRNA from 1 species
AACGCGAAGAACCUUACCUGGGCUUGACAUGUGGGUGACCGGUGUGGAAACACACCUUCCCUUCGGGGCACCUUCACAGGUGGUGCAUGGCUGUCGUCAGCUCGUGUCGUGAGAUGUUGGGUUAAGUCCCGCAACGAGCGCAACCCCCGUCGCAUGUUGCCAGCAUUUAGUUGGGGACUCAUGCGAGACUGCCGGUGACAAACCGGAGGAAGGUGGGGAUGACGUCAAGUCCUCAUGCCCCUUAUGUCCAGGGCUACACACGUGCUACAUUGGCGCAUACAGAGGGCUGCGAUACCGCGAGGUGGAGCGAAUCCCUUAAAGUGCGUCUCGGUUCGGAUUGCAGGCUGAAAUUCGCCUGCAUGAAGGCGGAGUUGCUAGUAAUCGCGGAUCAGCACUGCCGCGGUGAAUACGUUCCCGGGCCUUGUACACACCGUACGUC